CCUAGUCAUACACGUGGACCUAGCAGCACCCGAAGCAUUGCCCAAGGAUACUUGCUGAGAAGGAAGUUUGCCUGAGUGGUAUCUGACAAUGUGGAGGACAGAAGAAAGGGGAUUGUUGCCUGGUCAAUGUGAGGCUUUCCUCUAAAGGUACUACUAAGUCAGACUGCCUUCCUGAUAACAGUUCUCAUUUUGUAUGGUAUAAUUUUUUGUAUGAUCCUUACUGUCUGGUUUUUGGGAAAGCCCAGUGUAAAAGCCAAUAUUUUAGUGGGGUUGUAUCUUAUAUUUCUUUAAGGAGUUUUUUUAAAUCUUACAUGUGUCCAAUUUGGAACUUGUGGUUAUUGGCUUUUUUUCCCCUUGGGUAUAAGCUGAAAUUGAUGUUUGUGACAGGAUUUAGAGCUUUGGCCUGUUCCUUUUUGUCUAAUUAUUUAUUUCAAAUUUAGCAGGAAUAAAGUGAACCUCACCUUGGGACUGAAGCUGUGACCAGUCAGAAUAAUGUCAAAGUGCUUACAGUGCAGGUAGUGGUGUGUGCAUCUACUGCAGUGAGGGCACUUGUAGCAUUAUGCUGACAGCUGCCUCGUUGGGAGCCACAGUGGGUGCUGCCUCGGUCGGCACGUCGCGGGGAGGGCCUGCUCGUGCUGCGUGCUUUUUGUUCUAAGGUGCAUCUAGUGCAGAUAGUGAAGUAGACUAGCAUCUACUGCCCUAAGUGCUCCUUCUGGCAUAAGAAGUUAUGUCCUCAUCCAAUCCAAGUCAAGCAAGCAUGUAGGGGUCUCUCCAUAGUUGUGUUUGCAGCCCUCUGUUAGUUUUGCAUAGUUGCACUACAAGAAGAAUGUAGUUGUGCAAAUCUAUGCAAAACUGAUGGUGGCCUGCUAUUUACUUCAAGUGGUGUUGUUUUUGUUUUGUUUUGUUUUUUUAACUAAUUUUGUAUUUUUAUUGUGUCGAUGUAGAACCUGCGUGGUGUGUGUGAUGUAACAGCUUCUGUAGCACUAAAGUGCUUAUAGUGCAGGUAGUGUGUAGCCAUCUACUGCAUUACGAGCACUUAAAGUACUGCCAGCUGUAGAACUCCAGCCUCGCCUGGCCAUCGCCCAUCCAACUGUCCUGUCUGAGCACUGGUCUAUGGUUAGUUUUGCAGGUUUGCAUCCAGCUGUAUAAUAUUCUGCUGUGCAAAUCCAUGCAAAACUGACUGUGGUGGUGAAAAGUCUGUAGAGAAGUAAGGGAAAAUCAAACCCCUUUCUACACAGGUUGGGAUUUGUCGCAAUGCUGUGUUUCUGUAUGGUAUUGCACUUGUCCCGGCCUGUUGAGUUUGGUGGGGAUUGUGACCAGAAGAUGUGAAAAUGACAAUAUUGCUGAAGAUGCCGAUUUCUGCUGUAAAAGUGUUCACGAGCUGAUGGAGUGUAUGAAUACAUUCUGUAAACUCUGAUUUCUAUUGCUUUCGUUGGUGUGUAAAACAGGAUUUUUUUAUUGAAAUUUGUGUUUUUUGUUUGUUUUUACUGAAUCAUUUCACUUUCGGGCUUGCUCACUGGAUUUAGUAAGAAGUUGUUGUGUGUGGGCUUAGGCGAAGUUAAACUGCCUUUUGAAUCUGGUAUGACUCCAGGUUUAUUUUACUCUAAAACCCAUUAACAUGAGUUAAGAAAAUGUUACUUUCUUUGGAUCUCUGUUUAUUAAAGUGUGACCUUUCAGAUGGAGUAUUUUCUGAUAAGAUUAUUCCUGAUUCGUGAGUUCUUAACAGUUAACAGGUGGUGGCCACUCUGUUAAUGUGCACACCCUGUAAGAAAGAACUAUCCUUGGCCUGUUCUUACCAUGUGACCCCUCAAGGGAGAGAUGGCAAACUGAUGGUCAGUGGAGUGACAGGCACACAUGACACUUGCAGGGUUGUGUGGCCUGGGUCUGGAGAGGGUGCUCAAAGCUGCAGUUAGUGUUUAGGAUAACAGUAUAUGUAUAUAUUUCUCUACAUUUGGGCAGCACAUUUGGUUUCAGGCUAUGAAUAAAUACCAUCGGAGUGAAACCUAAAAAAAAAAGUAAAAUUAAUAAGGAUGAGCUGUUAAAAUCAGAUUUAAGCUGACACUAUCUAUCUACAAAGCUAAAGUUUUCCAUAAUAUGUUGCUUUUUUUAAAAGAAAGGCAAGAAGCUGAUUGGACCCCGGAGCUGCAAGGUAAGGAUUCCACAGGCCUGGGUCUGGUUGUGAGUGGCCAGAAUUGUACAAUUUUUAUAAAACAGAACCAGUCACUUCUGACUCCAUUCUUAACCUUUUUGGAUCACAAGUUGUUUUAGAUGAUUAAUGAAGAAAAUUCCUUUAAGAAGUGAUAAAGUUCUCUAAUGUCAGCACGAUCCGUGUGUGUCCUAUAAAGGGAGGGGCUGUCACAAGUGUUAGGUAUUGAAUGUUACGUUUAUCUUUCAACAUAGGAAGCUGCCAGGUCCUUUGUUCGAUGUGCUAAGUUAGAAGUUUAAAAUUAAUAGGGUCUCAAUUAGGACCUUUGGAUGCUGAGCUUGUGGUAGUAAUUGCGUCCAGAAUGUUUUGAACUUGAAUUGAGAUGUAAUUUUAGUAAGGAAUGUGUGUCUUAAAGGCCUAGUAACGAAGAGGAGUUUUCCUAAGAUUCUCUCUUCUCCCUUCAUUAAGCUGCUUUCUACACUAAGGGCUUCAAGCAGAAAUACACACUUCAGUUCAGCAGAGCAGAGGGAGGUUAGCUAAGUGUCUUCUCUAAAAUUCUUUUGGCAAAACAGCUUUGGUCUCUUUCUUAUACUUUUUGAUCUUGUAGUAACUAGGGCAGAUAUUUGCUAUACGCUUUCAGGAAUGGGGGUUGGUUACUAAUGUCUUGUGUUACAUGAAAGUAGUUAAAUUUAUCCUAUAUUAAGAAGGAAGUAUUAUUAAGACUAUAAACUGUUGAUUUUAACAGGCAAACCUAGCACAGAAAACCAGCUGGAUUUUCCCUGUGCAUGGUUUGAAGAGUCAGUCCUACAUAAUUGCUGACACAAUGCAACCUGCAGCUGCCCGGAGAAAGAACAAUGUCACUAAAAUUUGUUGUAUUUAUCAUCCAAUUCUGUUCUGUAACUGAUAACACUAGUUUGUCUGGCUUUAGAGAAUAGGCGAAUCUAAAACAGUGGAAACAGCUCAGUUGGGCAAGGGCCAUUCUAGUAGCCUGCCUGCUCCUUGGAGUUUUCCAGAUUCUUGUAUAAGACUGCUUUGCUCUGUGCACUCAGAAUUGGUUGGUGUGCCUUUCUGUGUAAAUGAUAUAUAAUGCAUUGCUAGUUGUCUAGGAUCUAUUCAGGAAGUGCAUACUGUGAAUUUUAAAGUGAAGAAAGAUUGUUAACAAGGGUUUCAAUGUUUUUUUUUCUGGUAAGCUAAAAUAGGCAGAACAUUGUGAGGUACCUGGUUUAUUGUGGUUACAGACUUGGAACAAUGUUCAUUGUUGAGUGCUAAUAAAUUCUGUGUUUUAAAAUCUGAUGUACAUACAAGCAUUUUUAAAUAAAGUUAUCUUGUAGCACUGG
ensembl:lincRNA Mir17hg Mir17 host gene (non-protein coding)